rnacentral:lncRNA from 1 species
AAAUGCUGUAUUAUAUUUAACAAAUUUUGUAAAAAUCGAUGAAAUAUGCAAUUGUUUCAAAAAUUAUUCAAGAAAAGGAAUUGCAAAACUUUUACAUCAGUCACAAAACUUUAAUCCAAAGGAAAGUUUUUACUUUAUAUGCAGAUGAUUAAUACAUGUGAUUAACAUUUUGACUCCCUGAGUUGCCAUUGAAAUUGUUCCUUAUCUGGAGUGACAAUUCAAACAAUUUUAAUUGUCCAUUAAUAUUUGAAUAUAAAGAUUUAUUUCACUGCUGACUAUACAGUUGACAGUGAUAACAAACCAUUUACACUUAGUCAAAUAACUUCAUAAAGAGAAGGCUGUAUCAAGACAUUCUUAUUUUGAUAAUUAAGAAUUGAAAAUAUUGAUAAAUCUUUGGUAUGCUAUGAUCAUUUAUUUAUUUAUUUAUUUAUUAAAAAACAAUAUUUUCACAUUGCUUUUAGAUUUAAAAUAAGGUUGAAUUUUGAUAACUGCAGGUAGCAUCCUAAAUGAAAUAAAAUAUUUGUAUCAUUUUUCCAGCAUACUUACUAGCCAACAAUUGGCUUCUAGUUCUCCAGUGUUUGAAAUCAAUAGAGAAAAUGGUGUAUUUUUGACUAGUUGUAAAUCAUUUGUCAACUGUAUAUAAUACUGCUGAUGAUAAAAUGCUUUACAAUUUUGUGCUCAAAUGUUGUUGUGCCAAAUUCUGGGCAUUUACUUCUGGAUAUUUGUGCCUUUAUACAAUUACAAAUUCAUUUUUAGUGCUGUUUUCAAUUAUUUAGUUUUAUUUUUGUUGUCAAUUAAUGGUUUUCCUUAUUAAACUUUAUGCUUUGUUUGCCAAUCCAAUUUAUUUUUCAUCUGAAUUGAUUUUUUUUUCAACAGCUAGAGAAUUUGUUUAUUCUGAUUAUUUUAAGUUUUUAAGUGAAAUUUUUCAAAUGUGUGUUUUGAAGCAAAAAUUUUCAGGAAAAGAAUUCCGUCCAACAUUUACAUUUUUUUGGUGUGAUGUUUCUGUUAUAUAGUUGCAGAUGUUAUAUUUUUAUGCAUUCAAUAUAAGAUACAUUCCACAGAAUAGAAAAAAAUGUCCAAGAAAUAAACAUGGGAAAUUAUUUAAAACGUUAAAAUUUAUUUUGUUAAUAUGAAUGGUUGCAAAUGUAUAUGCGUGAGGUAUGUUGUAUAAAUGAUUUUGUUUGAAAUCUUGCCUGUUUAAAGACCAGUAUUUACAAGAUAUUGGUCGUGGGAUAUUUUGUUAAUGAUGUUUUGUGAAUAGUGUACCAUUUAAUCAUUUCAAGUCAUUUGAAUGUUACUUUUUAACUUACUGUGGAUUCAUCAUUAUUUCUUCGGCUUCUAAUUUUGUGGAUGUAUUUAAAUUUUCAACUAAGUACAAUAUUACUUUGGCUUAAAUGCAAAUUUUGAAUAUUUUGUGCAAUCAAAUAUCCACAAAAAUUGGUACCUACCAAUAUAAUGAAAUCACAGUAUCUGUUUUCUGCUACUGUAGGAGUUGAGAUGAAAUGGUAGAUUUUUAAGCAAAAUAAAAGUGCAGGUGGAAUGCUUUUGUAUAUUGUAUAUAUAUAUAUUCAGUUUUAUAGACUCACACAAUUAACUAGAAAUAACUUGAAAUAUAUAGCUAACUAUGAAGUUUCUGAUUUUGAAGUGUGACAGAAACAGUUAUUAACAGUUUUUUGCCAAUCUCUGAAUGAGGAAGAAAAACCAAGAAAAACAAAAACAGAAUAUUAAGGGAUUUAAUAUUUUUAUAAACUUUGUUGAAUGUGCACAAGUCAUCUCCCCUAAAGAAAUUUUACUUCCUGUUUUGUUUUAUUAUUAUUUUCUUUAAAUUACACAUUCAAUGUGAUGUUUCGAAUGUGUCAUGAUAAAAAAAUUCAACAACAUGCCAUUCACUUUAAAGAGAUAUUUGUUGUAUACAUGUUUAAAAAAUCAAACAACUUGGACAACAUUCCUAAACUCGCUAUAUGAAAAUUUCAAAAACGUGUGUCAAAAUGAAUAUGAAUCUAAUUACAAAGAAGACUUUAGUCAUUUUAUCAAUAAUGUACAAUCACUAUGGUGCAUGUUAGCCAAGACAUCAUUUUAUCAGAUCGAUGUACCAUUUCACCAGGGUGCACGAUAGCCAAGACUUCAUUUUAUCAGAACGAUGUACCAUUUCACCAAGGUGCAUGUUAGCCAAGACAUCAUUUUUUCAGUACGAUGUACCAUUUCACCAGGGUGCACAUUAGCCAAGACAUCAUUUUUCAGAACGAUGUACCAUUUCACCAAGGUGCAUGUUAGCCAAGACAUCAUUUUAUCAGAACGAUGUACCAUUUCACCAGGGUGUUCAGAUCAUUAUCAGAUUAAUUUAGGUGCCAAUAUAGUUUUCAUGUGAUAGUAUGUGUUUCCCAUGUGCAUAAAAUGCCUCUGUAAAUAUAAUAAAUUAUUGUUAUCAUAUCCUGUUGUAGAUAACUAAACAUUAAUGUUUUAUUAUUUAUAGAAGUUUUUGUUUUUUAUUGAAAGAUCUGUGAAGCCAGUGAUCAGUCAAAGUCCAGAUACAAAAAUUAAUAUAUAUAUAUGAUUUUAUUGUUUUUAAUGUCUAUUUUUACAUGAAAAUUGUAAGUGGAAGUGAAUGACCUAGCUGUAUGUGAUUAUAUUUCUGUUUAAUUCUGACCAGACUUUGUCAUUGUGUUAUCAUUAUGGGAAUAUGUGACCAUACAUAGAGGUAAUCUGUGUCAAAUUUUAUGCUAUUCUGCAACUUCUUUACAAAAUUUAACUAAACUUACAAAAUAAAUGUAAAUUAUAAUGAUUCGUACAUCUGUAUUUGUUGUUAUUGCAGAAUUUAUUACUUUUUUCACUUGGAAGUUAUGCCUUUUACCUUCAGAUGUCAAAAGCCUUAUUUUGGCUACUGUAAGUGUCAGCAACAGUUUACUAUCAUUCACUAUGAUUCAUCAGAAGAUGAUAUCUUUAUAUAAAACUUUGUAAACUGGAGAAAUUUUCAGUCUUUAUAAAAACUGUGUAUUUUCAUAUUUUCCAAUUAUUUUUUCCAUAUGAAUAUGAGAUUAUUUUUUUCUGUAUUCUGUAUGAAGAAAAUGAAAAUAUAGAUUCAAGACCAUGAACAAAAAAAAUCAAUUAGAUCAUGAAAUUAGACUGCACAAUAUGUGUCAGUGUAGAUAUUUAUUUGCACAUUUUUUGGUUAUGGUGUAUAGUUUGUCUUGUUGCCAAGCAUACCUCAUUUCCUUAUUUUAUAUCAUAAAAAAAUACAUUUUCCCCAAAUGAACAGACCACAACUUGAAAUAUUUAUUUGGUCAUUUAUUAUCUUUUUAACUUUCUGGCAUUGUUAUCCUUACAAAUUAACCUUAAAACUAUAUGCAACAACCAAAAGAUUAAAAUAUGCAAAACCAUUGAAUAGCUCUAACACAAAAUAUGCAAAUAUAUAUAUUAUAUAGUAGAAUUAUAAAAAAAUGAUUAAUGUUUAAAAAGAUUGAGUUAAAAUUGACAUGUUAGACUGCAUCUUAAUUUUAAAUCUGUAUUACAAAAUUGAAGAUUACAAUAGAAUCGUGUUCUGAUGAACCACCUUUAAUAUUAAACAGGUGUGAUUUGUCCAUGGCUAGCGAUGCCCAUUCUUUAAUUUAUCAUAAAUUUAUAAGUCUCUGAUUCAUUCUAUUUGAAUUUUGCACUGAAAUCUUACCAAUAUUAAAGUAGUUGCUUAUAAUUUGAAUAACAGAUACCAACCCUUUUUUUGGUAGCAAGUUGUAAUAUGGAUUAAAUUUCAUGGUAUGGAGCCUUUUAAUUUAAAAACAUUCAAACUUCAUAACAUAUUUCAUUUUAGUCUUAGAAUUUUCAUUGGAAAAGAUUUUUGCACUUUUUCGAUAUAUAAUAUUGAGACAUUUAGAUAAUUCUAUGUAUAGUCUGCUUAAGAGGAGUUACUGACCAAGAUCAUCUUUAUAUUAGUAACCAAUUUUUGCUUGUUAUAAAAUGUCAUACUUAAAACUAAUUUAAUUGAUCCACCUUGUAAUAGAUCAAGUUUCAUUUCACUCAGAAUAUUCAUAACAGAAUUAAAUCCUUGAAA